rnacentral:rRNA from 1 species
GACGAACGCUGGCGGCGUGCUUAACACAUGCAAGUCGAGCGGUAAGGCCUUUCGGGGUACACGAGCGGGGAACGGGGGAGUAAAACGGGGGGGAUCGGCCCUGAACUUGGGGAUAAGCCGGGGAAACGGGGUCUAUUACCGGAUAGAACCUCCUAUCGCAUGGUGGGUGGGGGAAGGAUUUAUCGGUGCAGGAUGGGCCCGCGGCCUAUCAGCUUGUUGGUGGGGUAAUGGCCUACCAAGGCGACGACGGGUAGCCGACCUGAGAGGGUGACCGGCCACACUGGGACUGAGACACGGCCCAGACUCCUACGGGAGGCAGCAGUGGGGAAUAUUGCACAAUGGGCGAAAGCCUGAUGCAGCGACGCCGCGUGAGGGAUGACGGCCUUCGGGUUGUAAACCUCUUUCAGCAGGGACGAAGCGCAAGUGACGGUACCUGCAGAAGAAGCACCGGCUAACUACGUG